GAGAGCCCUCUACAGGGGUGUCAUGCAGGAGAAGUAUGAGACGGUGACCUCGCUGGUGUGGGGCCCAAAACUGGACACAGUACUCCAAAUGAGGCCUCACCAGUGAAGAUGGUGAAGUGUAGUGAAGAAGGAGGAGGUCAAGGUGGGGGGGGAUACCAUAGUGAGUAGGGUAUCCAAUUUCCAAACCUGAUGUGAUGUCGCAGCUGGAACGAGGGGAAGAGCCGUGG